rnacentral:rRNA from 1 species
AUUGAACGCUGGCGGCAGGCCUAACACAUGCAAGUCGAACGGUAACAGGAAACAGCUUGCUGUUUCGCUGACGAGCGGCGGACGGGUGAGUAAUGUCUGGGAAACUGCCUGAUGGAGGGGGAUAACUACUGGAAACGGUAGCUAAUACCGCAUAACGUCGCAAGACCAAAGAGGGGGACCCUCGGGCCUCUUGCCAUCGGAUGUGCCCAGAUGGGAUUAGCUUGUUGGUGGGGUAACGGCUCACCAAGGCGACGAUCCCUAGCUGGUCUGAGAGGAUGACCAGCCACACUGGAACUGAGACACGGUCCAGACUCCUACGGGAGGCAGCAGUGGGGAAUAUUGCACAAAGGGCGCAAGCCUGAUGCAGCCAUGCCGCGUGUAUGAAGAAGGCCUUCGGGUUGUAAAGUACUUUCAGCGGGGAGGAAGGGAGUAAAGUUAAUACCUUUGCUCAUUGACGUUACCCGCAGAAGAAGCACCGGCUAACUCCGUG